UACGGGGGGGGCAAGCGUUGUUCGGAAUUACUGGGCGUAAAGGGCGCGUAGGCGGCCUUCUAAGUCGAACGUGAAAUCCCCGGGCUCAACCCGGGAACUGCGUCCGAUACUGGAAGGCUUGAAUCCGGGAGAGGGAUGUGGAAUUCCAGGUGUAGCGAUGAAAUGCGUAGAUAUCUGGAGGAACACCGGUGGCGAAGGCGACAUCCUGGACCGGUAUUGACGCUGAGGCGCGAAAGCCAGGGGAGCAAACGGG
rnacentral:rRNA from 1 species